UGACUCUGCAGAUGACUUUCAGCACGUC
rnacentral:piRNA from 1 species